AGCCUAAACCAUAGCCCAAAGCUAAGGCAUGGCACAAAAACCGAUAAAGGACACACAACCCGUCGCAGGGUUCCUUUAUCGGUUGCAUGGGGAAACUCAUGCAUUUGGGUCGAAAGACCCA
rnacentral:sRNA from 1 species